rnacentral:rRNA from 1 species
CCUACGGGACGCAGCAGUGGGGAAUAUUGCACAAUGGGGGAAACCCUGAUGCAGCGACGCCGCGUGAGCGAAGAAGUAUUUCGGUAUGUAAAGCUCUAUCAGCAGGGAAGAAAAUGACGGUACCUGACUAAGAAGCUCCGGCUAAAUACGUGCCAGCAGCCGCGGUAAUACGUAUGGAGCAAGCGUUAUCCGGAUUUACUGGGUGUAAAGGGCGUGUAGGCGGGGACGCAAGUCAGAUGUGAAAACCACGGGCUCAACCUGUGGCCUGCAUUUGAAACUGUGUUUCUUGAGUACUGGAGAGGCAG